AACGAACGCUGGCGGCAGGCUUAACACAUGCAAGUCGAGCGUCCCGCAAGGGGAGCGGCAGACGGGUGAGUAACGCGUGGGAAUCUACCCAUCUCUACGGAAUAACGCAUGGAAACGUGUGCUAAUACCGUAUACGUCCUUCGGGAGAAAGGUUUAUCGGAGAUGGAUGAGCCCGCGUUGGAUUAGCUAGUUGGUGGGGUAAAGGCCUACCAAGGCGACGAUCCAUAGCUGGUCUGAGAGGAUGAUCAGCCACACUGGGAUUGAGACACGGCCCAGACUCCUACGGGAGGAAGCAGUGGGGAAUAUUGGACAAUGGGCGCAAGCCUGAUCCAGCCAUGCCGCGUGAGUGAUGAAGGCCCUAGGGUUGUAAAGCUCUUUCACCGGUGAGGAUAAUGACGGUAACCGGAGAAGAAGCCCCGGCUAACUUCGUGCCAGCCGCCGCGGUAAUAC
rnacentral:rRNA from 1 species